rnacentral:rRNA from 1 species
CUGCUGCCUUCCGUAGGAGUUUGGUCCGUGUCUCAGUACCAAUGUGGGGGGUUGACCUCUCAGUCCCCCUAUGUAUCGUCGCCUUGGUGAGCCGUUACCUCACCAACUAGCUAAUACAACGCAUGUCCAUCUCUGACCACCUGAGUUUUCAACCACCGAAGAUGCCUCCGGUGAUGUUAUGGGGUAUUAGUACCAAUUUCUCGAUGUUAUCCCCCUGUCAAAGGUAGGUUACAUACGCGUUACGCACUCGUCCGCCGGUCGCCGG